rnacentral:lncRNA from 1 species
AGAAAAUGGACUCUGGACCUGUACCCGGGUGGCCGUUCCAGGACAAGCGAGAUCACGUGGCCCUUCUGGGAACCGUCCUCUGCCCAGGGCAGAGCUCCCGGGCCGUCUGUGCUCCAGAGACCAGCAGGACAACCUGUGUCCCCCAGCACGCCCGGACGGCUGCUGUUUUCUGUCGCCUUUAUCACUGCACCCCCACCACAUGCACACGCGGAAACCUUCACAGCUACUCCCGGACUCCACCCAGCCGAGGACCUGGGCCUCCGCCAUGCUCAGUACCCUUCACAGCUAGGUGCUGGCCCCUCAGUGCACAUUGCUGGCUGCCCUCCCUCUGGGAUCAUGCAGGGCAGCUCCCCGCACCUCUGAGAACAGCUUGAACAUACCCAUGGAUUGCCUAAGUUAAUUUUUUAUUGUUUAUGAAGUGUAUUAGUUUCCUAGGGAUGUUUAAACAAAU